CGUGAAUCAACAAUUGCAGGAUACUCUCCGGCAAUAAGUUAGUGGGGACCUUGCCAGAGGAACUUGCGCAGAUAAAAAACUUGACGGAUUUUCGCGUAAGUGAUAAUAAUCUUAAUGGCACCGUACCCGAGUUCAUUGGGAAGUGGAAUCAACUUCGAAAGCUUGAAUUGUACGCGACUGGAUUGCAAGGACCCAUACCUCCUGCAAUUUUUCAUUUGGAAAAGUUGUCUGAUUUGUGAGUAAAACCACUUUCUUGUGCUGCAUAGCUCCUGGCUCCUGCUGUAUUAAUUAUUGAAGAAUUCUUUUUGUGUGUGAGAGAUAGGGAGAGAUAAAUGAA